CCUACGGGUGGCAGCAGUAGGGAAUCUUUCACAAUGGGCGAAAGCCUGAUGGAGCAACGCCGCGUGCAGGAUGAAGGCCUUCGGGUUGUAAACUGCUUUUAUAAGCGAGAAAUAUGAUGGUAACUUAUGAAUAAGGAUCGGCUAACUACGUGCCAGCAGCCGCGGUAAUACGUAGGGUGCGAGCGUUAAUCGGAAUUACUGGGCGUAAGGGGUGUGCAGGCGGUUUUGCAAGAUGGAUGUGAAAGCCCCGGGCUUAACCUGGGAAAGCCAUACAUGACUGCAAGACUAGAGUGCGUCAGAGGGGGGUGGAAUUCCAAGUGUAGCAGUGAAAUGUGUAGAUAUUUGGAAGAACACCGAUGGCGAAGGCAGGCCCCUGGGACGCAACUGACGCUCAUACACGAAAGCGUGGGGAGCAAACAGGAUUAGAUACCCUGGUAGUC
rnacentral:rRNA from 1 species